AAAGCCCACACAUGAUUCUUCAGUUUCUUUUCCUGUGCCACAGCAACCAAGAAGGUCACAUGUUCCAGAAGCUGCAGCUAUAAGCACAAGCGAAAAAUAAACUUCUGUGGUGCAAAGUCACUGAGAUUCAGGAGUUGUUGCCAAAGCGGAGCCGAGCUCAGUGGUUCCCAGUCUGGUCCCAGCCACCACGUAAGAUGUUCCUUUGCUCUUCCUUCAUCUUCC
rnacentral:lncRNA from 1 species